CUUUGUGUUCGAUUUACGUUAGGUACAGUGUGUGUGUAUACUUCGAUAAGUGUAAUGAAAAUAUUUUGAAUAAAACUUAAAAGUUCUCAAAGAAAUCAUCGUGCCAAAGGAACUUUCUAGAAAAUGGUGCAAGAUGUUGUCGUCUUUUUAAAUUUAAUUCAAUGGCUGGGGUCGCGUGGGCCCGGUGCGACGGCCGGCGGCGUCCAGCGACGUCGCUCGGCCUCUGGACUGGCCGCGCUACUGACGUGACUCGCCUCGACGACUCGCGACCAGACAAACGCGCAUAUCCAUAAUGGGGGACUUUAUUUUGAACUCUGGAUUAUGUGGUAAAUGACGAAUUAACGUAAAUAAAUGUUAAGACAACUAACAAUAUGACUUGAUGAUAUUAUUAUAGUUGUUUAUUAAUCUCCUAUCCUAUGGCCAUUCAUCAAACGACGUCGUGUUAAAAAUUCCCAUCGCGUCAUUCGUCGAACUUUUAAACAUUGCACGCAUUGACAACCUCUUUAGUUACAUAUAACAUCUUUAUAGCGGUAUAUUUGCAUGUAGUUUAAGUUAAGUUCAUAGUGAUAUGUCAAUCGAUCUUAGUUUUAGGCAUGGCUGGCAGAGUCGCGAGUAAGUUCACUUGUAAACUCAUCGCCAAUACUUUUCCGUUACUUUAGAAUGUUUUUUUGUUUUGAAUUCUUGUUCUGGGAGCAAGUUAAAUAUCAAGAUCUACGCGAUAAUAAGUUAGCAUUCCUUGUCAAACGUUUAGCAUUUAAGACUUAAUUGUAGUUUUACUGUUUAUUUUUUAAUUAAAAUGUAAUUUUCAUUCGCAACAGUCAGCAAAUCCAGUAUAUAAGAGCG
rnacentral:misc_RNA from 1 species